rnacentral:piRNA from 1 species
UCACAGUAAUCCCUCCAAUGGCAAGAGA